rnacentral:rRNA from 1 species
CGCGGUGGACUGUGGUUUAUUCGAUGCAACGCGAAGAACCUUACCUGGUCUUGACAUCCACAGAACUUUCCAGAGAUGGAUUGGUGCCUUCGGGAACUGUGAGACAGGUGCUGCAUGGCUGUCGUCAGCUCGUGUUGUGAAAUGUUGGGUUAAGUCCCGCAACGAGCGCAACCCUUAUCCUUUGUUGCCAGCGGUCCGGGCGGGAACUCAAAGGAAACUGCCAGUGAUAAACUGGAAGAAGGGGGGGAUGACCUCCAGUCAUCAUGGCCCUUACGACCAGGGCUACCCACCUGCUACAAUGGCGCAUACAAAGAGAAGCGACCUCGCGAGAGCAAGCGGACCUCAUAAAGUGCGUCCUAAUCCGGAGUGGAGUCUGCAACUCCACUCCCUGAAGUCGGAAUCCCUAGUAAUCGUGGAUCAAAAUGUCACGGGGAAAACUUUUCCUGUGCUUGUACACACCCCCCCCCUGAAAA